GAACUGCGAUAAGUAAUGUGAAUUGCAGAAUUCAGUGAAUCAUCGAGUCUUUGAACGCACACUGCGCCCCCUGGCAUUCCGGGGGGCAUGCCUGUCCGAGCGUCAUUGCUGCCCUUCAAGCCCGGCUUGUGUGUUGGGUCGUCGUCCCCCCCGGGGGACGGACCCGAAAGGCAGUGGCGGCACCGUGUCCGGUCCUCGAGCGUAUGGGGCUUUGUCACCCGCUCGAUUAGGACCGGCCGGGCGCCCGCCGGCGUCAAACCCCAAUCUUUCUAAGGUUGACCUCGGAUCAGGUAGGGAUACCCGCUGAACUUAAGC
rnacentral:misc_RNA from 1 species